GCAGGAAACAGAUUCCACUGCAGGAAGCUAGAUGUAAUAUUCAACUAAUAUACUUCCCUUGUGUUAUAUAUAAUCUUUACACUUACAAUAUUUAUUAUUAACAAAACAAAAAAAGGGAUCUCCAAAAACCCCCAUCUACUUACUUAUCUUCCUCCAGUUUAUCCUUUACAACCAUAUUAAAGCAAAAGACGCGUCUCGGAUUGAUGUUUCAUCUGUUGUCUAGCUUGUUGUUGGGACCAGUAAGCAUGAGCAAUGAGGACUCGGUCGAGGAGUUCCUGAGGCACAGGCUCACCUCUCCUUUGUUGAGGAGAUAUUCGCGCUGUGUGCACCAGUGUUUUCCAUUUG
rnacentral:misc_RNA from 1 species